GACGAACGCUGGCGGCGUGCUUAACACAUGCAAGUCGAACGGAAAGGCCCUUCUUUUGUGGGGUGCUCGAGUGGCGAACGGGUGAGUAACACGUGAGUAACCUGCCCUUGACUUUGGGAUAACUUCAGGAAACUGGGGCUAAUACCGGAUAGGAGCUCCUGCUGCAUGGUGGUGGUUGGAAAGUUUCGGCGGUGGGGGAUGGACUCGCGGCUUAUCAGCUUGUUGGUGGGGUAGUGGCUUACCAAGGCUUUGACGGGUAGCCGGCCUGAGAGGGUGACCGGCCACAUUGGGACUGAGAUACGGCCCAGACUCCUACGGGAGGCAGCAGUGGGGAAUAUUGCACAAUGGGCGGAAGCCUGAUGCAGCAACGCCGCGUGCGGGAUGACGGCCUUCGGGUUGUAAACCGCUUUCGCCUGUGACGAAGCGUGAGUGACGGUACUGGGUGAAGAAGCACCGGCUAACUACGUG
rnacentral:rRNA from 1 species